rnacentral:tRNA from 1 species
GGGGAGGCUGAGCAAGUGGCGAGCCCAACUGACCGUAAAUCAGCCGUCUGAGACUGUGCCGGUUCAACUCCGGCCCUCCCCACCA